GGUGGUGCAUCGCCUCGAGCAUCACUGCGACAGCAACCGGCACGGCACGCAGCAGCGCCGUUAAACAAACCGCUGACAAGCUUAAAGAAAACUGCGCGGAAGUCGCCAGUAUGUGUUACCUUCCAUCACAUUUAAGCAGUACUGCCAGCUGGAAAGAAGCCACUCCGCCUACCACUCCGCCUGGAAAGAAGCGCCGGUGGAUGUGAGAGAUGCGCUUAUCCAACUGACCGACCUCAUACACGAGCACCUCACGAGAACCGCCCACAUUUACGCUCUCAGCCAAUAGACGCACGCACGCCCUAAUAUCGACGUAUCAUCGGUCCAAUCAACACGCAGGCAGCAGGUACAAGUCGCCAAUCGGAUACGGGCAAAGCUCCUCCUGCGGCAAUGCAGAAUUCCAAAGUCGCACAGCAUCACCGUGUGCUCUGAGAAAAUCUUGAUAUAAUGGACUAACCAUAAGCUAAGUCAUAGUCGGUGUGAUUGCAUGAUUAAUGUUUUGUUAACGUGUUUGGUAUAUUGUUUCUCUCAGUGUUUUUUUUUACAUGUAUUAAAUGUGUUGUCAGAGAAAACGAACACAGCUGCAGUUCUGGUUGACACUGCAGCAGGCCUUAAGCAUCUGAAGCAGUAGGCCUUAAAUAUAUAUAUAUAUAUACACUAUUUUUGGUAACACUUUACAAUAAGGUUCAUUAGUUAAUGAGUUAGUUAACUAACAUGAAUUCACCAUGAACAACAUAUUUGUUACUGCAUAAUCUUCAUUAAUGUUAGUUAAUGAAAAUACAGUUGUUCAUUGUUUGUUCAUGUUAGUUCACAGUGCAUUAACAAAUGUUAACAAGAUUUUAAUAAUAUAUUAGUAAAUGUUGAAAUUAACAUUAACAAAGAUUAAGAAACGCUGUAUAAGAGCAGUUCAUUAUUAGUUCAUGUUAACUAAUGAACCUUAUUGUAAAGUGUUGCCAAUCUUUUUUGCAGUUAUCAGAUUUAUUUUAAUGCACCAGUUUUGGUCUCUUCAUUAUGUGUGGUUUAUGUCUGUGUUGUAUGUGAAUCUUUUAUUUCCGCACUGGAAUAAUGAAAGGAUAUUGUAGCUUCUUUAAAUAAGAAUCUUGUUUCCUUUACUCUCUUGUACCAAACAUCUUAGUUAAGUUCAUUUAACUUUGUAAAUCUGAAUUAUUGUUACUUUAAUGCUAUUAGAUGUUCCUAGAAUACUUAGUACAGUAUCAUGAAAAGGAUACUACAGGAAUAGCUUCAUACUGCAUUACAGUAUUGGAACAGAACAGGUGACUGCACGCAAUAUGUCAAAGUUCAUUAGAAAGAGAGGGAGAUGGAGAGAAAGAGGGAUAUUAAAAGUGUGACCUUAAGCUCAGUGACCCUAGAAAGGUCAAGCUUAAAACAUAAAUACAUUCUGUCACCUUAAAAUAAUACAGAAUUGAGUAUUCAUGUUUCUUAGAAAGAACAUGAAUAACACAAAUUCAUAUGUUUAUGAAUAGUACAAUUUGUAUGUAUAAUCAGACCCACCAUCUACAUACACCUCUAGUAAUUACCUGUGUUCAUGACCUAGACUACCAGUGUAGUAACCUACUCUAAAGAUGCAUGCACCUCUUUACAAUAACUCCAU